rnacentral:lncRNA from 1 species
ACGUUUUAAGGAAGGAGGUUUUCGGAAGUAAUGCACCGCCUCUGCCAUUAAUUGUAUAAUAGGGCAGGAUGUAAAUACAUUUUUUUGGUGAUAUCCCGUGGAUGGAGAUCAUAUAAACGGAGCAAACGAUUCCCAAUUCAUUCAAUCAUUAGUUUGGUCUAAACACAAGCAAUAGCAGUGGUCGUUAGAAGUAGCUGUAACAUGAAAACUUCAACCAGGGUUUGGAUUCUAUGUUGCUUUUUAAUUUUGUCUUCUUCUGUCCAGUUCUCAAGCGCAUUUAUCUCCAACAAAGUUGGUAGAAGGACUUUUAAGUAUGACAGAGAUAUUCAACCAAUCUGCCAGUUCGCCUCCGAAUAUUGUGGUGUCCUGAGACAUGAGCUGCAGUCACGUGACACAACUGGUGAUGCGAGGCCGAAGGAAAGGGACAUUAUCCAUGAAUGAAAAUAGCUAAAUCAACGCCGCCCACGCCACCAUCGAAUAAAAUUGUACAUGUUACUUUUGUAAAUCAUCGUUAAAGGAAGAGUUUAAGUUUAUUUAAUUUAAUGACGGAAUAAAAAGCUGGUUCAUGAUUGCAAAUCA